UUUAUGGAGAGUUUGAUCCUGGCUCAGGAUGAACGCUGGCGGCGUGCCUAAUACAUGCAAGUCGAGCGAACGGACGAGAAGCUUGCUUCUCUGAUGUUAGCGGCGGACGGGUGAGUAACACGUGGAUAACCUACCUAUAAGACUGGGAUAACUUCGGGAAACCGGAGCUAAUACCGGAUAAUAUUUUGAACCGCAUGGUUCAAAAGUGAAAGACGGUCUUGCUGUCACUUAUAGAUGGAUCCGCGCUGCAUUAGCUAGUUGGUAAGGUAACGGCUUACCAAGGCAACGAUGCAUAGCCGACCUGAGAGGGUGAUCGGCCACACUGGAACUGAGACACGGUCCAGACUCCUACGGGAGGCAGCAGUAGGGAAUCUUCCGCAAUGGGCGAAAGCCUGACGGAGCAACGCCGCGUGAGUGAUGAAGGUCUUCGGAUCGUAAAACUCUGUUAUUAGGGAAGAACAUAUGUGUAAGUAACUGUGCACAUCUUGACGGUACCUAAUCAGAAAGCCACGGCUAACUACGUGCCAGCAGCCGCGGUAAUACGUAGGUGGCAAGCGUUAUCCGGAAUUAU
rnacentral:rRNA from 1 species